CCUACGGGUGGCUGUAGUGGGGAAUUUUGGACAAUGGGGGCAACCCUGAUCCAGCCAUGCCGCGUGCGGGAAGAAGGCCUUCGGGUUGUAAACCGCUUUCGGCCGGAACGAAAUCGCCGGGGAGAACAUCCCCGGUGGAUGACGGUACCGGAAGAAGAAGCACCGGCUAACUACGUGCAAGCAGCCGCGGUAAUACGUAGGGUGCGUGCGGGGCUCGGAAUGACCGGGGGCGGUUCGCUAGCAGGCGGUUGAAAUCCCCGGGCUUAACCUGGGAACUGCGUUUGUGACUGGCGGGCUGGAGUGCGGAAGAGGGAGGUGGAAUUCCACGUGUAGCAGUGAAAUGCGUAGAGAUGUGGAGGAACACCGAUGGCGAAGGCAGCCUCCUGGUCUAGCACUGACGCUCAUGCACGAAAGCGUGGGGAGCAAACAGGAUUAGAUACCCCAGUAGUC
rnacentral:rRNA from 1 species